rnacentral:rRNA from 1 species
CAGUCGCCGCGGUAAUACAGAGGGUGCGAGCGUUAAUCGGAUUUACUGGGCGUAAAGCGUGCGUAGGCGGCUUCUUAAGUCGGAUGUGAAAUCCCUGAGCUUAACUUAGGAAUUGCAUUCGAUACUGGGAAGCUAGAGUAUGGGAGAGGAUGGUAGAAUUCCAGGUGUAGCGGUGAAAUGCGUAGAGAUCUGGAGGAAUAUCGAUGGCGAAGGCAGCCAUCUGGCCUAAUACUGACGCUGAGGUACGAAAGCAUGGGGAGCAAACAGGAUUAGAUACCCGAGUAGUCCCUGUCUCUUAUAC